UACGUAGGGUGCAGGCGUUAAUCGGAAUUACUGGGCGUAAAGCGUGCGCAGGCGGUCUUUUAAGUCAGAUGGGAAAUCCCCGGGCUUAACCUGGGAACUGCGUUUGAAACUGGAAGGCUAGAGUGUGGCAGAGGGGGGUGGAAUUCCACGUGUAGCAGUGAAAUGCGUAGAGAUGUGGAGGAACACCGAUGGCGAAGGCAGCCCCCUGGGCUAACACUGACGCUCAUGCACGAAAGCGUGGGUAGCAAACCGG
rnacentral:rRNA from 1 species